rnacentral:misc_RNA from 1 species
AUAGCCUUGGCCGUCAUCACUGGUUUCCUGUGUUGCAUACCUACAUCGAUGGAAUUCGUAGACCAAUUCUUAUCUUGUUCGCCUAUCGCUGCCCGUUCGCACGGUGCGGCUUCGGGUGAACCUCAAAGCGAAAUUCGUGUUUUGCGUCGUUUGCGCAUCGCGUUAACGUCACGGCCCACGAGUUCUCGCUUGACCUCGGGGAUGCGGAAAACGCUGGUGGUACGGGGUCCUUGACCUCAAUUUGCCCACAAAAUUGGCAUCACACGCCACAUUCGAACGACUCUCGGCGUCGCACUGACGAAUGCGUCUGCGACCCGA